rnacentral:misc_RNA from 1 species
UCUCCGUUGGUGAACCAGCGGAGGGAUCAUUACCGAGUUUACAACUCCCAAACCCAAUGUGAACGUUACCAAACUGUUGCCUCGGCGGGGUCACGCUCCGGGUGCGUCGCAGCCCCGGAACCAGGCGCCCGCCGGAGGAACCAACCAAACUCUUUCUGUAGUCCCCUCGCGGACGUUAUUUCUUACGUCUCUGAGCAAAAAUUCAAAAUGAAUCAAAACUUUCAACAACGGAUCUCUUGGUUCUG